AAAGUCGUAACAAGGUUUCCGUAGGUGAACCUGCGGAAGGAUCAUUACAAAUCUGGUUGGUUGGUUUUGGUGGUUUUGGUGGUGUUGUUUGGUUGAUUGAACAGUGCCAUCUAAACACAACCCAACACAUUUACGCUUGUUGUGUUUGACUGAGUUAUGUAAUACAUUUUUAUAAAGACAACUUUUAACAAUGGAUCUCUUGGCUCUU
rnacentral:misc_RNA from 1 species